UACUCCGUGAUGACGAAUAAGCAGCCCAGAAAUGAGGGGAGGCCCGAGGUAGAGCACUCAAUGGGCUAGGGUGGCCCCCAUUUCGCUUUACCAACCCCAGGGAAACUCCGAAUACAGGCUAUCAUCCUUAGUACAGACAGACUGAUUAGGUGCUAAGAUCCAAAGUCGAGAGCGAAACAACCCAGAUCGUACGCUAAGGUCCCUAAGCAAUCACUUAGUGGAAAAGGAAGUGAUCGAGCGAUGACAGCCAGUAGGUGGGCUUGGAAGCAGCCAUCCUUUGAAGAAAGCAUAAUAGCACACUGGUCUAGCUCCAUGGCACCGAAAAUGUCUCAGGGCUCAAGUGAUUCACCGAAGCGCAGUCAAAUGUUUAGGGACAGAGGGGGUA
rfam:Oryza sativa Japonica Group DNA, chromosome 1, cultivar: Nipponbare, complete sequence.